GGCCUUGACAUACUUAGAACUUUCCAGAGAUGGAUUGGUGCCUUCGGGAACUUAGAUACAGGUGCUGCAUGGCUGUCGUCAGCUCGUGUCGUGAGAUGUUGGGUUAAGUCCGCAACGAGCGCAACCCUUUUCCUUAUUUGCCAGCGGGUAAUGCCGGGAACUUUAAGGAUACUGCCAGUGACAAACUGGAGGAAGGCGGGGACGACGUCAAGUCAUCAUGGCCCUUACGGCCAGGGCUACACACGUGCUACAAUGGUCGGUACAAAGGGUUGCUACCUCGCGAGAGGAUGCUAAUCUCAAAAAGCCGAUCGUAGUCCGGAUCGCAGUCUGCAACUCGACUGCGUGAAGUCGGAAUCGCUAGUAAUCGCGGAUCAGAAUGCCGCGGUGAAUACGUUCCCGGGCCUUGUACACACCGCCCGUCACACCAUGGGAGUUUGUUGCACCAGAAGUAGGUAGUCUAACCGCAAGGAGGACGCUUACCACGGUGUGGCCGAUGACUGGGGUGAAGUCGUAACAAGGUAGGCGUAGAUGA
rnacentral:rRNA from 1 species